GAAAGUAAGCAAGGGCAGACGGUGGAUGCCUUGGCUCUCGGAGGCGAUGAAGGACGUGAUAAGCUGCGAUAAGCUUGGGGUAGGUGCAAAUAACCUUUGAUCCCAAGAUUUCCGAAUGGGGCAACCCGGCUGGUAGAAGGCCAGUCAUUCCGUAAGGAAGGCGAACGUGGGGAACUGAAACAUCUAAGUACCCAUAGGAGAAGAAAACAAAAGUGAUUCCGCAAGUAGUGGCGAGCGAACGCGGAACAGCCCAAACCGAUGAUGUUUAGGCAUUGUCGGGGUAGUAGGACCACGUUGUGGCAAGAGAUUAAGGAAGUAGAACGUUUUGGAACAAACGGCCGUAGACGGUGAAAGCCCAGUAUACGACUCUUUAACGAAGCCUAGUGGAAUCCUGAGUAGCGCGGAGCACGAGAAAUUCUGUGUGAAUCAGCGGGGCCCAUCCCGUAAGGCUAAAUACUCCCGAGAGACCGAUAGCGAACCAGUACUGUGAAGGAAAGGUGAAAAGCACCUCGAACAGAGGAGUGAAAUAGUCCCUGAAACCGUCUGCCUACAAGCGGUCGGAGCAACGUAAGUUGUGACGGCGUGCCUUUUGCAUAAUGAACCUACGAGUUACUUUCUCCGGCAAGGUUAAGGGCUUCAGGCCCGGAGCCGAAGCGAAAGCGAGUCUUAAUAGGGCGUGAUAGUCGGAGUGAGUAGACGCGAAACCAAGUGAUCUACCCUUGGUCAGGAUGAAGGUUGGGUAACACCAACUGGAGGUCCGAAUGGGUAUACGUUGAAAAGUGUUCCAAUGAACUGAGGGUAGGGGUGAAAGGCUAAUCAAACUUGGAGAUAGCUCGUACUCCCCGAAAUGCAUUUAGGUGCAGCCUUUAUUUAGUAUAGCAUGAGGUAGAGCGACUGAUUGGAUGCGAGGGCUUCACCGCCUAUCAAGUCCAGAUAAACUCCGAAUGCGUGCUAUAUAUUGAUAAGGAGUGAGGGCGCGGGUGCUAAGGUCCGCGUCCGAGAGGAGAAGAAUCCAGACCAUCAGCUAAGGUCCCCAAAUAACAGUUAAGUUGAACUAACGAAGUCGGACUGCAGAGACAGCUAGGAUGUUGGCUUGGAAGCAGCCAUUCAUUUAAAGAGUGCGUAACAGCUCACUAGUCGAGGAGUCCGGCGUGGAUAAUACUCGGGCAUAAACUGUUUACCGAAGCUAUGGAUGUAGAAAUACAUGGUAGGGGAGCAUUCCAACGGCGUUGAAGGUGAAGGAUGACCUUUGCUGGAGCUUUUGGAAACGCAAAUGUAGGUAUAAGUAACGAUAAAGGAGGUGAGAAACCUCCUCGCCGAAAGACUAAGGUUUCCUGAUCAACGUUAAUCGGAUCAGGGUAAGUCGGGACCUAAGGUUAAGCCGAACGGCGAUACCGAUGGAAGAAUGGUUUAAUAUUCCCAUACUACUUUAUGGAGCGAUGUGGAGACGGAGAAGUGAAAGUCCUGCCAUCUGACGGAAUAGGUGGUUGAAGAGUGUAGAUGUAGAUUCCUGUAGGCAAAUCCGCAGGGAGAGUCGACCUUGACAGUAUGCCGCGUGCUUGCACAAGGCAAAAUGGACGUAAUCAGGCUCCCAAGAAAAUCCGCUAAGCAUAUUCAUAAAGUACCCGUACCGUAAACGGACACACGUAGUUGGGUUGAAAAUACUGAGGCGCUCGAGUGAUUCACGGUUAAGGAACUAGGCAAAUUGACCCUGUAACUUCGGGAUAAAGGGUCCCUACUGAGAGGUAGGGCGCAGAGAAUAGGUCCAGGCAACUGUUUAACAAAAACACAUGGCUGUGCGAAAUAGAAAUAUGAAGUAUACAGCCUGACACCUGCCCGGUGCUGGAAGGUUAAGAGGAGAGCUCAUCGCAAGAGAAGGCUUGAAUUGAAGCCCCAGUAAACGGCGGCCGUAACUAUAACGGUCCUAAGGUAGCGAAAUUCCUUGUCGGGUAAGUUC
rnacentral:rRNA from 1 species